UACGUAGGGCGCAAGCGUUGUCCGGAAUCAUUGGGCGUAAAGAGCUCGUAGGUGGUCUGUUACGUCUGCCGUGAAAUCCUAGGGCUUAACCCUGGGCCUGCAGUGGAUACGGGCAGACUAGAGGUAGGUAGGGGAGAAUGGAAUUCCCGGUGUAGCGGUGAAAUGCGCAGAUAUCGGGAGGAACACCGGUGGCGAAGGCGGUUCUCUGGGCCUUACCUGACACUGAGGAGCGAAAGCGUGGGGAGCGAACAGG
rnacentral:rRNA from 1 species